GGCUUCUUCGCCGUCUCUACAUGCCGCUGCUCUGAUUGCUGCCU
rnacentral:sRNA from 1 species